rnacentral:lncRNA from 1 species
GGCUGCACAUGCCGAGAGAUGAGUUUGGAUUAGUCUGCCAUAUAGCACACUUCAGUCUAUUUGAGCUGAACAGUAUGUGUAGGUAAUCCUGUCUAAUGCUGCUUUUUUAUGUAUCACGUAGUAGAACUGCAUUAGUGUUGCUCUUCACUUUCUGGAAGACCGAGUUUUGAAAUCAAUGGAAUUAGAGUAUGAUAGCUAAGGAGAUGGAGAAAACACCUGUCUCAAGGUUUACAUCUUCAAAUUAAGGGCAACCAUGGCAUCCGUGACAGGGAGAAGCAUCCAUCUAUGAUGUAAAUGGAACAUAUCCAAACACCAGAGAGAGAGGAGGCUCUACUGGAAACUAAACACAUAUUUCAUCCCCCGUCCAAAAAUACUAAACUCAGGGGACAAAGAGGAACCACAGAGAGGAACCAAAGGUAAUGUUAUCACCCAGUCCCACGCAGAGCACAUGUUUACACUUUAGAACACUGACUCAAUUAUAUUAUCUCAUUGCUGUGAGAAAAUGCAUACAGAUGUUCUGUGUAAAAGUAAAAACAUCUCAUUAAAACCUGUUUCUUGUACUUAUCCACUACAUUUCAUUCAAUUGUCUCUUCCAUGUGUUUUUUAAACAAGUACUUGUCUUCCACUAUUAUUGGGCAUUAAGUGUUCCUGAUGGUAAAAAAAUAAUAAUUUCCUGAUGUUAGAAUCUCCUUUCAUCUUCCCAUUCAACAUCCAUGCAGAC